GACGAACGCUGGCGGCGUGCCUAACACAUGCAAGUCUAACGAGAAAGGGGUAGCAAUAUCCUGAGUACAGUGGCGCACGGGUGAGUAACACGUAGGCAAUUUGCCUUCAGGACGGGGACAACCUCGAGAAAUCGGGGCUAAUACCCGAUAAUGCAGCGGCACCGCAUGGUGACAGUUGUUAAAGGCCCGCAAGGGCGCUCGGAGAUGAGCCUGCGUCCCAUUAGGUAGUUGGUGAGGUAACGGCCCACCAAGCCUACGAUGGGUAGCUGGUCUGAGAGGAUGAUCAGCCACACUGGAACUGAGACACGGUCCAGACUCCUACGGGAGGCAGCAGUGAGGAAUAUUGCGCAAUGGCCGAAAGGCUGACGCAGCGACGCCGCGUGAAGGAUGAAGUCCGUUAGGAUGUAAUCUUCUUUUGCUAGGGAAGAAUGUGGCGCCUUGGGCGCCAUUGACGGUGCCCCUGCGAAUAAGGGUCGGCUAACU
rnacentral:rRNA from 1 species